rnacentral:rRNA from 1 species
UACAGAGGGUGCGAGCGUUAAUCGGAAUUACUGGGCGUAAAGGGCGCGUAGGCGGUUAUUUAAGUUGGAUGUGAAAUCCCUGGGCUUAACCUAGGAACUGCAUCCGAUACUGGAUAGCUAGAGUGCAGUAGAGGGUAGUGGAAUUUCCGGUGUAGCGGUGAAAUGCGUAGAUAUCGGAAGGAACACCAGUGGCGAAGGCGGCUACCUGGACUGACACUGACGCUGAGGCGCGAGAGCGUGGGGAGCAAACAGG